rnacentral:tRNA from 1 species
UGGGGUGAGGCUUGGUGGUAGAGUGCAUGCUUGGCAUGCAUGAGGCCCUGAGUUUUAUUCCCAGCACCCAAA